GUGCUCACUUUAGCCGCACACAUACUAAAGCUGGAACAAUGCCGAGAUUAGCAUAGCAUCUGCAAGAGAAUGACACUCAAAUUCAUGAAAUUUUCAUCAAUUUU
ensembl:snRNA U6 U6 spliceosomal RNA